AUCCACAAUAUUAGUCACUCAUAGAUCAGGAUUUUGUAUUUCAAAAUAGAAUUCCCAAAUACCCAUCUCUUUUUCUUUCUCAUUUUCUCUUUCUUGAUGCAUCUAACCUACUCUCUCUCACUGUCUCUUUCACUUGUUCUCUCAUCAUCUUCAGUCUCUCUAUCAAUCACCUCUCUACCAUAAAGCUCAUUGUUCCUCUGUUGUAGUUCCUCUUUUGUUGUAGCUCGCACAAGUCUCAUUGAUCAAUUUGUGGUUUGAGAUAUCAUUGGAUUCUCACUGUUCAAGUCUGAUGGAAGAGCAUUUUGAGGGUCUAUCAUAGGAUCAACUAAUGGGGAAGGUAGUCGACGAUUCUCUUGAUAGCGAAGAAGAUUUACAGCCGUUCGACUUCUCUAGAGAGGUAACCUCUCUGAAUUAAAAGAUUUUGAGGGCACCUUAUUUGAACAAUUCUUCCCUUGCAUCUUCUAACUUGGUUGAGGUCGUAAGUGAGAAGAAGGUCUACUCGUUUGACUUGAAUAAAGAGGCAAUCGAAGAUGGUAAAGAAGUGAGCGACGGUAAUGGCAAUAGCAAUAGCAACUCAAUUCUAGGGUUUUGGAAAGCAAUAAAAAGAAGAAGAUUGUCCACCUAUUAGACCAAAACAAGUUUCCACUUCCAAAGGAAGACUAUGCACAUCUGACUAAGGAAGAGAAAGAUAAAAAAAUGCUUAUAAGAGAUGAACAAGAUGCAAGCAAUAAACUCUAGCUAUCUUACAAGCAAUAAUUUCACUUGCAGAGCAUGGGAGGACAUUCUCACACAUAGGAGGAGUACUUUAGUCUAAGGAAAUGGUGUUGUUGUCCCCAUUAUCUUCCUCAUUGACUAGAGCAUUUAAAUCAAUAAAGAAGGAGCAUUUUUUUCAUGGUGGAAAAUUGCACAGCCUUUGUUUUGUUUUUUUUUUUAUAUAUUCACCUGCCUAUAGUUUUCCAUCCUCGUAAAAAAAAAUGCUCAACUUUUUCACUGUAAA